AAGGGAACCCGGGGACAUCGUCCCCGUCCUCCCACCCAUGAAUACGCGAGGAAACAAUUAUCAAGUUACUUCGGCGGAUCUUUUCGCCGGGCAACCUGCACAAAACCCUAUUUCAACGUGUCGUCAGAGGGAAGAAACGAAUCGAAUCA
rnacentral:misc_RNA from 1 species